UUCCGGUUGAUCCUGCCGGACCUGACUGCUAUCGGAUUGAUACUAAGCCAUGCGAGUCUUUGCAGUAAUGCAAGGCAUACGGCUCAGUAACACGUAGUCAACUUACCCUAUGGACGAGGAUAAUCUCGGGAAACUGAGCAUAAUACUCGAUAGAUCAUAAUGCCUGGAAUGGUUUAUGGUUGAAAUGAUUCGUCGCCAUAGGAUGGGACUGCGGCCUAUCAGCUUGUUGGUGAGGUAAUGGCCCACCAAGGCGAUUACAGGUACGGGCUCUGAGAGGAGAAGCCCGGAGAUGGGUACUGAGACAAGGACCCAGGCCCUAUGGGGCGCAGCAGGCGAGAAAACUUUGCAAUGUGCGAAAGCACGACAAGGUUAAUCCGAGUGAUUUCUGCUAAAGAAAUCUUUUGCAAGUCGUAAAACCACUAGUGAAUAAGGGGUGGGCAAGUUCUGGUGUCAGCCGCCGCGGUAAAACCAACACCUCAAGUGGUCAGGAGGAUUAUUGGGCCUAAAGCAUCCGUAGCCUGCUUUGUUAGUUUUCGGUUAAAUCCAUGUGCUCAACGCAUGGGCUGCCGAAAAUACUGCAUAGCUAGGGAGUGGGAGAGGUAGACGGUACUCGGUAGGAAGGGGUAAAAUCCUUUGAUCUAUCGAUGACCACCUGUGGCGAAGGCGGUCUACCAGAACACGUUCGACGGUGAGGGAUGAAAGCUGGGGGAGCAAACCGGAUUAGAUACCCGGGUAGUCCCAGCCGUAAACGAUGCAGACUCGAUGAUGCAUUGGCAUAUAGCCAGUGCAGUGUCGCAGGGAAGCCGUUAAGUCUGCCGCCUGGGAAGUACGUACGCAAGUAUGAAACUUAAAGGAAUUGGCGGGGGAGCACCACAAGGGGUGAAGCCUGCGGUUCAAUUGGAGUCAACGCCGGAA
rnacentral:rRNA from 1 species